ACAAAAUUUUAUCCAAUAUCCUCUCAAGAUUAAGCCCAUAUACAAACAAAAUUAUUGGGGAUCCAUGAAGUUAAUUACUGUGUAACUGUUGCAUAGUUUUGCUGUUAGUAAAUAUUUUUGUUCACCUUAAUCAAGUGCUACAAACUGGACUUGGCAAUAAAUCUGAGUUUGAAGAGACUAAGAUUAUAUAAAAGGGCAAUUUUAUUUCACAAACUUGAAAAUUUGAGGUAAGAAACUGAUGAUCAUGAGCUUUUCUUAAGGAGAAGAACUUGUGGAUAAUAAAGCCUGCUGCAUCUCUGAAAUAAUUUGGACUCUAGCAGACUGGACUGAAAUGGCGGUAAUGAUCUACCAAACUACACGGCAUUACAUGCAA